rnacentral:lncRNA from 10 species
GAGCCUGCAAGACAAAGGCUCAGGUAGAAGAAGGAGGGCCAGGGGCUGCAGGAAGGCAGGAGGAUGCCAGGGGGAACCGAGGUAGCUGGAAAUGUUGCGAAACACACACUCACAUGCCCCAGCUUGCCCCCAAGCCGGCUGCACUGCUUUCCCCUCCUCAGCCCACUCAUGGCUCGGGUCAGCCGACGUCCCAUCCUGUGCCUUUCCAUGGUGGGAGACCACCGCGGGAUGGACCUGUGCCCCUGACCAAGCCUGAAUUAUAAGAUAAUUCUUUUGCUUCUAAAGGCUUCUUUCUAAGGCAGAAGAGUAGACACAGGUUCUGAAGAUUCUGAUCCCAGAGUUCUGGCUUUCCCCUCCCUUUGUGGCCCCCAGUUCCACCAGCAAAGCAUGGGGUGCUUUCCGGCCACCCUGCAAGCUGGGCUCCCAGGUAAGUCAUCCACGACCUCUCGUCCAGGUUUGCUGGCUCAUGGAUUUUUCUCUACGCUGAUUUUAUCACUUCAUAUAAAAUUGGACCUUGGUUGUUUUUAGCCAAUGCAGUAGUAAUAUUUUUUUUAAAGUAGACUCAUGAGAGUGUUCCCCAGCUGGGGCAUGAGUAAUCCAUCCCUAAGCUGCUCCAAGUAACAAUCCUGUUAGUGGACCAGAAAGCUGCUUUCUCUCAGACCAUUGAUUUCAAAGCUGGAAAACAGCAGGCACUGUGUUGGGAGUAAGCAAUGUGGAGUCAUCUCUUCCCCCAGAGAAACGCUGACAAGUAUUAGCUCACAGACAUGUGUGCACAAAGAUGGAUGCUCACAGUUGUCCGUUGGAGCACUGUUUGAAGCAGCAAAAGGAACCAAUUCAACUUUCCCUGAGUAGGAAAAUGGCUAAAUAAAUGGUAACUUAUUCACAGAAGGGAAUAUAAUACAGCUGUUAAAAUCAUGAAAAAAGGUACAUAUUAUACCAUGAAUAAAUCUCAAAAACAUCAGUUCUAAAAAAAAGAAAGUAGCUAAAGUAUCCACCCAGCCUGAUACCAUUUACAUAGACCUUAAAGAUCCAAUACAUGCAAUAGUAUAUCUUGAUCAGGAAUUUGUAUGUGUGAAAUAAAAUUACAAAAACAUGCUGUAAGAUGGGCAUUUCCUCUGAAAAGGAAAGCAUGAGGGAAGUAUGGGGGUGAGGCUUUAUCUGGUCGGUAACAUUACUUUUUUUAAAGAAGAAAGAUGAAGCCAAAUAGACAAACUAUCAAUUUUUGCUUAAUUUUGGUGGUGGGUACUUAAGUGUCAGUUAUAUAUUUUUUUCUGCAUGAAAUAUUUUAACAUGAAAACAACAUUUAAAUAAAAAACACAGAGGCAUUAUCUGUGAGUAUAAUAGCUCACAUUUUAGUGAGGAAGAGAAACAAGCAAACUAAGAGUGGUUUGAUAAAUGCUGAUAACACAAAAGACAGGGCAGCUGCUGGCAGCUCCGCCUGGGGGCUUGGGAGGACCUGUUGGAAGAGGUAAUGGUUGACUGAAAUGUUGAAAAGCCGCAUGGAGUUAGGAGGACAGGUUGGAGAGGAACAUCCCAGGAAGAGAACAGAGCCAUUGUUGAUAUCUCCAUAAUGGUAGAAUAAUAACACACAUUACUAAAAAUUUAUCUUGCUAACCAAGGCCAAGACUCCCCUGGGUUGGAGAUAAGAUAAGCUCCCCUUUCAGCAGCAUCAGAGGCUGCUCAGGGCCUGUGACAUACCCUUGGAGAAGAAUCCUCCAUAUGCAAAGUGGUCUAAUGGUUAACUUCUAAAAGAAAAUAGCUGAAUCUGAUGGCACUAUGGGCCAACUACCACUUCUAAGAACUUUACCUGUUUUGACUCACUUAAACAGCCCCCUGAGGAAGGUACUAUUAUAGUCAUCCAAUUUACAGAUGGGGAAACUGAGGCACAGAGAAGUGAAAUAAUUUGCUCCCAGAUACUCAGCUAUAAGGGGCAGAGCCAAGAUUUAAACCCAGACAGUCUGGCUUUACAGUCUCAUGCAAGGUCCCCAGAAGGUCUCUCUCCUGGGUCCUGAGAUAUUACAUUGCCUGGGCUCUCAAUACAGCAUUGAGCUUAGCUGCCUUGGUUCCAGGCCCUCGCCUUCUGGAUUCAACCCAGCUACAAAAACCCUCAGCCCUGACUGUUCAUUCAAUGCCUGGCUCCCAAUUUCCAGCAAGCCCUUUCUGCCUUGACUCCAUCUGCCCCGGCUCUUGAGCUGCUCAUGCCUGAACCCCAUCCCAUGCCUGCCCCACGCCCUCUCCUGCCUCCUGUCUUACAGCUUGCCAUCCUGCCCACCUGAGGCUCUGCCUACUGACAUGCUAUUCCCAGGACAAGACCAGCUUCCAGGACAAGCACUGCACUCAGAAGCCAUGUCAUUCAAAUCAGGGGCAGGCUUGUUAGGGUCAAAAAUGGUCCAAAUUCUGGGGAUGUCAUUUGAAAAAAGACUGUUUUCAGGAAACAAUCUUCCUAUCUGUGGUGAUUUUAAAAAUAUAGUUCUCAAAUUGUGUGUAGGAAAGGAAAGUAGCAAUAUGGGUGCAGGAAGAGCAUGACUGUGUGGAUAAAAAGAUGAUGUAUGCACAUGAACAUGCAGAACUGAGAACUCAGGUUAAGUUACAGCAAGAUAUGGCAGGUACUGUGGUUUGAAUGUGUUCCCCAAAGUUCCUGUGUUGGAAACUAAAUCUUCAAUGCAACAGCAGGACCUUCAAGAGGUGAUUGGGUCAUGAGAGUUCUGCACUCGUGAAUGGAUUAAUGUCAACAUCAUCAAGAAGCCCCUUGCCAGAAGCAAGCCUCAUGACUUAGGACUUUCCAGCCUCCAGAAUUCUGGGCAUGGUGGCUCACACCUGUAAUCCCAGCACUUCGGGAGGCCCAGGUGGGCGGAUCACCUGAGGUCAGGAGUUUGAAACCAGCCUGAGCAACAUGGUGAAACCCCAUCUCUACUACAAAUACAAAAAUUAGCUGGGUGUGGUGGCUUGCAUCUGUAAUUCCAGCUACUAGGGAGGCAGAGGAAGAAGAACUCCUUGAACCUGGGAGGUGGAGGUUGUGGUGAGCCAAAAUCACAUCACUGCACUUCAGCCUGGGCAAAAAAGCAAGACUCUAUCUCAAAUAUAUAUAUAUUUUUUUUUCAAUAAAAAGCUAGAAAAAUUGGAGAGGUAUAUCAGGCUGUUCUUGCAUUGCUAUGAAUAAAGAAAAGAUGUUUAAUUGGCUCAUGGUUCUGCAGGCUGCAGAGGAAGAUACACAGGUAUCUGCUUCUGGGGAGGCCUCAGGAAGCUUCCAGUCAUGGUAGAAGGUAAAGAGGGAGCAGAUGUCUCACACGGUGGGAGCAGGAGCAGGGGGCGGGGAGGUGCCACACGCACUUUUAAACGACCGGAUCUUGAGAGAACUCACUCACCGUCACGAGAAUAGCACCAAAGGAAUGGUGCUAAACCACGCAUGAGAUAUCCUCUCCCGUGACUCAGGCCCCACCUCCAACAAUGAGGAUCACAUUUCAACAUGAGAUUUGGGCGGGGACACAGAUCCAAACCACCCAAACAGAGGCAAUAAAGACUACCUAGUCUAACUGUCUUGACGCUGCCUGAACCCCCUUGGUGGAAUGACAAUUACAUAAAAGCCUGAACUCAUUCAUUCUCCCACUCUCUUAAACUUAUUAUUCUUUCAAAGUUUAGUUUAUUUGUUUGUUUGUUUGUUUGAGUAAACUAUCAUGGUGGAGAAAAGAAAGCUUAAUUUCC